GAUUUGAACAGGUGUCCAUUUACUUGGACCCAACUUCUCAAUUCUAACUUUGUGCAUCUGUAUUAAUGGCGAGCAACUUCGGUUGUGAGCCUUCACUUACAAAACACUAGUCUAUGAAUGUAAAAUUUUUAUAACAAAUAAAAACUUUCAACAACGGAUCUCUUGGCUCUCGCAUCGAUGAAGAACGCAGCGAAAUGCGAUACGUAAUGUGAAUUGCAGAAUUCAGUGAAUCAUCGAAUCUUUGAACGCAUCUUGCGCUCUCUGGUAUUCCGGAGAGCAUGUCUGUUUGAGUGUCAUGAAUUCUUCAACCCAAUCUUUUCUUGUAAUUGAUUGGUGUUUGGAUUCUGAGCGUUGCUGGCGUUUGCCUAGCUCGUUCGUAAUACAUUAGCAUCCCUAAUACAAGUUUGGAUUGACUUGGCGUAAUAGACUAUUCGCUAAGGAUUCGGGGGAAAACAUCGAGCCAACUUCAUUAAGGGAAGCUUCCUAAUUUAAAAGUCUACCCUUUUGAUUAAAUUCUCAAAUCAAGGCAGGAAUUACCCGGCUGAACUUAAGCAUUAUCAAUAAGCCGGGAGAGAGAAAAAUCUUUUUGGAAACAAGGGGGGCCCAAUUUUACUUGAAACCAAACUUCUCAAUUCAAAUUUGAGCACCGGAUUAAAGGCAACACUUCGGUGGGAACCUUCUUUCAAAAACUAGUCAUAAUUAAAAUUUUAAAACAAUAAAACUUUAAAACGGACCCUUGGUCCCCACAAGAAAAACCCCCAAAGGCAAACUAGGGAAUUCGAAAUCCGGAACCCCAACUUUGAACCACCUGCCCCCGGGGAUCCGAAAAACGCGGUUAAGGCCGAAUUUCCCCCCACCUCUUCCUGAAAGAAUGGUGUGGAUACAACGCGUGCGGGGGUUGCACCUCCAAACAUAACCCCAAACACAUUUGAGACUGGCGAAAAAUAUCGAAAGCUGGGAAACGGCCCUUUUAGGAGCCCCAUUAGAGCCCCUCUGUGAUAACCCAUUCAGGGAAUACCACCGCAGCAGAUAAAUAUAAAGAUGCAGGAGAGAGAAAAUU
rnacentral:rRNA from 1 species